UACGUAGGGACCAAGCGUUGUUCGGAUUUACUGGGCGUAAAGGGCGCGUAGGCGGCUUAACAAGUCACUUGUGAAAUCUCCGGGCUUAACUCGGAACGGCCAAGUGAAACUGUCAAGCUAGAGUGCGGAAGGGGCAAUCGGAAUUCUUGGUGUAGCGGUGAAAUGCGUAGAUAUCAAGAGGAACACCUGAGGUGAAGACGGGUUGCUGGGCCGACACUGACGCUGAUGCGCGAAAGCCAGGGGAGCAAACCGG
rnacentral:rRNA from 1 species